GCUGGGCACAGUGGCCCAUGCCUGUAAUCCUAGCGACUUGGGAGUCUGAGGCAGGAGGAUCGAAAGUUCAAAGCCAGCCUCAGCAAUGGCAAGGCUCUAAGUAAUUCAACAAGACCCUGUCUCUA
rnacentral:sRNA from 1 species